GAUGAACGCUGGCGGCGUGCCUAAUACAUGCAAGUCGAGCGAACGGACGAGAAGCUUGCUUCUCUGUUGUUAGCGGCGGACGGGUGAGUAACACGUGGAUAACCUCCCUAUAAGACUGGGAUAACUUCGGGAAACCGUAGCUAAUACCGGAUAAUAUUUUGAACCAUAUGGUUCAAAAGUGAAAGACGGUCUUGCUGUCACUUAUAGAUGGAUCCGCGCUGCAUUAGCUAGUUGGUAAGGUAACGGCUUACCAAGGCAACGAUGCAUAGCCGACCUGAGAGGGUGAUCGGCCACACUGGAACGGAGACACGGUCCAGACUCCUACGGGAGGCAGCAGUAGGGAAUCUUCCGCAAUGGGCGAAAGCCUGACGGAGCAACGCCGCGUGAGUGAUGAAGGUCUUCGGAUCGUAAAACUCUGUUAUUAGGGAAGAACAUAUGUGUAAGUAACUGUGCACAUCUUGACGGUACCUAAUCAGAAAGCCACGGCUAACUACGUG
rnacentral:rRNA from 1 species